GGCUUCAUAGCUUAGUGGUAAAGCGUUUGCACUGGAAUCGGAAAUAUCAUCUGAGUUCGAAUCCCCUGGAGCCU